rnacentral:lncRNA from 1 species
GUGAUGCAAGUGGAACACAGAGAGUUUAUACUGGUUCGGGCUAAGGAUGCCCUACGUCCAGUGUGAGAUCGGGGGUCUGUAUUGCCUUGCACCCAAAGGUGCUUGUAGUAGGGGUGUACAAGCAGGUUGCGAGAGAGGGCUAAGUCCCAAGUCUCGACUUUGUGUGGUGGACGGAGUGCUACUUGCUACUCUGUGGGUGAACUCGCUUGGAGUUGUGGAAUUUUGCUUGAGUCUUGGUGGUCGAUGGUGUGCCGUGUGUGUUGCGUGUCUUGGAUGUG